rnacentral:tRNA from 1 species
CUUACAAUGCACCCGACUAACCGGACCUUUAUCUACUAACCCAGAUUAUUUUGAG